AUGAUGAAGGGCUCUUCCGGAGGGCCCCCCCCAAUCCUGUUGUGCCUGAUUCAGAGGGUUGGGUGGAGGCUUUCCUGAAGGGCUCUGGGGAGCGCUUCACCCUCAGGCUG
rnacentral:pre_miRNA from 1 species